UUGUAUAAACAGAGGCAUUGAAUCAAAAUCAUGUGAAGUAUUAGUACCAUUUUAUAAAGUCUUUGCAAGACCACACCUGGAAUAUUGCAUUCAGUUUUGGUCACCACAUUA